CCUACGGGAGGCAGCAGUGAGGAAUAUUGGGCAAUGGGCGCAAGCCUGACCCAGCAACGCCGCGUGAAGGAAGAAGGCUUUCGGGUUGUAAACUUCUUUUCUCAGGGACGAAGCAAGUGACGGUACCUGAGGAAUAAGCCACGGCUAACUACGUGCCAGCAGCCGCGGUAAUACGUAGGUGGCAAGCGUUAUCCGGAUUUACUGGGUGUAAAGGGCGUGUAGGCGGGAAAGCAAGUCAGAUGUGAAAACCAUGGGCUCAACCUGUGGCCUGCAUUUGAAACUGUUUUUCUUGAGUACUGGAGAGGCAGACGGAAUUCCUAGUGUAGCGGUGAAAUGCGGAGAUAUUAGGAGGAACACCAGUGGCGAAGGCGGUCUGCUGGACAGCAACUGACGCUGAGGCGCGAAAGCGUGGGGAGCAAACAGGAUUAGAUACCCUUGUAGUC
rnacentral:rRNA from 1 species